ACUGAACGCUGGCGGCAGGCCUAACGCAUGCAAGUCGAGCGGAUGAAGGGAGCUUGCUCCUGGAUUCAGCGGCGGACGGGUGAGUAAUGCCUAGGAAUCUGCCUGGUAGUGGGGGAUAACGUCCGGAAACGGGCGCUAAUACCGCAUACGUCCUGAGGGAGAAAGUGGGGGAUCUUCGGACCUCACGCUAUCGGCUGAGCCUAGGUCGGAUUAGCUAGUUGGUGGGGUAAAGGCCUACCAAGGCGACGAUCCGUAACUGGUCUGAGAGGAUGAUCAGUCACACUGGAACUGAGACACGGUCCAGACUCCUACGGGAGGCAGCAGUGGGGAAUAUUGGACAAUGGGCGAAAGCCUGAUCCAGCCAUGCCGCGUGUGUGAAGAAGGUCUUCGGAUUGUAAAGCACUUUAAGUUGGGAGGAAGGGCAGUAAGUUAAUACCUUGCUGUUUUGACGUUACCAACAGAAUAAGCACCGGCUAACUUCGUG
rnacentral:rRNA from 1 species